rnacentral:rRNA from 1 species
AGAUUGAACGCUGGCGGCAGGCCUAACACAUGCAAGUCGAGCGGUAGAGAGGUGCUUGCAUCUCUUGAGAGCGGCGGACGGGUGAGUAAUGCCUAGGAAUCUGCCUAGUGGUGGGGGAUAACGUUCGGAAACGGACGCUAAAUACCGCAUACGUCCUACGGGAGAAAGCGGGGGACCUUCGGGCCUCGCGCCAUUAGAUGAGCCUAGGUCGGAUUAGCUAGUUGGUGAGGUAAUGGCUCACCAAGGCGACGAUCCGUAACUGGUCUGAGAGGAUGAUCAGUCACACUGGAACUGAGACACGGUCCAGACUCCUACGGGAGGCAGCAGUGGGGGAAUAUUGGACAAAU